AUUAGUUUGUUUUUCUUCGGCCUUUGUAACCCUAAGCCGCCUCAUUCCCUCUCAGUCUCACUCACCGAUUCACUUCCUCUCUUCUUCGAAGAACCACAACCUCUCCAGUCCACAUUUCCUCCAUCGUUCGCUGCCCUCUAAACCCCUUUAUCGUCGCGCUCCUCCUUCUCAUUCCUUCCUCAUCUCACCCUCAAGGUCACCGCAGGAAUCGUCAGUUCGUCGCGCGCCGCCUAAGACGCCCCUGCCAAGGAGAACAUCUUCACGGGAGGGUCGCCGUCUUCACGAGAGCGUUCCUUUCUCUGUCGCAGCAGUUCAAUUUUACACCCCCUUUUGGAGAAAAUGGCAAUGAUUGAUAAAAAAGAUAACCAAUUCCUAAAGGAAUGCAUUCUUGUUGUUGAUGACGAUCGAACAUGUCUUAUGGUUUUGAAGAUUUUGCUCCAAAAAUGGCAUUAUUAGGGUUCAGCUUCUUCUGAUCUAAUUCUUCUAUAUUACCAAAUUUUAUUUUGCUGAAUUCUUUUUUAUGUUAUUGUUU